rnacentral:lncRNA from 1 species
CUUGUGAUAUAAACAAAAGUAACAACAACAAUAAAAUAACUGAGUUGAACACACACAUAUCUAUAUAUAUACAAGUAAAACUAACUAAGAGUACCCUAUCCUCAGCUCUUAAGACUGUUUUAUAAAGGAACCUGUUUUUUUCACUUGGUUUAUAUUAGAAGGAUUUAGUAGGACUACUAGUUUUUGAGUAUCAGAUAGAUUUGGAAACA